CAAGGAACUGAAGAGGGAGAAAAAAGUUCUAGCUAAAAGUGUGACGCCGGAAUGACAACCAUCAGCCACUUCAUGUUUGCUCAAUAUGUGGAUGAGCCGUAGAUUAUGACGAGGUUACAGGAUGUUAUCAAUCUGCGGGUCCACGGCUGCGUGAGACUGUGUCGUUAGUAGUCUGGCUCUGAAGAGGUUGGUUGGUUGUUUUAUUGAAAAUUAAAACAUGAAGGAUGGAUCUGGGAAGAGUUCAGAUUUCUCCUAAAUUCCUAACUGAUAAACGAAAUGUCACCGGACUGUGACACAAAUAGCAUUUUUGCUUGUUAUCACUCUGCAUUUAACCAUUAGUUUCAACGGUGGCACUUGUGGGUGCCUUCGUAUAUUUGCGUCUUGAAACAUUUGAAUGGGGGAUGGAUAAAUUGACUCUAUCGUCGUUGUGCAAGUCCUAACACCUAACCGAUUGAUUCUAAUUGAUGGAUUAAACGCUACAUCGUUUACAAUGUGGGGACCGGAUAAACUGUGUGAAAGUAUCACCACGGAGUCUAGGUUUCAGGAUGCUUGAGAAUUGCGGAUGUAGCCUAUUUUCGAUGCAGUUUUCGAGGGCAAGGAGCUGAAGAGGGAACUGUCGUUGUUUGAAUCAGAUCUGCUAACAUCAGCAUCUUUGGUGACAAGGUGAGCCAGCAGCCGAAAACUAGCAAACUUGAGGAUGGGGAGAAACCAGAGGGAUUGCGAAUGAGUUGGCAGCCAACUCCAACACCGCCUCUUCCCGAAAGUGGACG
rnacentral:lncRNA from 1 species